rnacentral:RNase_P_RNA from 1 species
CCAGCCGGCCGGGCGGCCGCGCGCGCAUUCGCCGAAAGGCAGCGCGCGAGGAAAGUCCGGGCUCCGAGGAAACACGGUGCCGGAUAACAUCCGGCGGGGGCGACCCCAGGGAAAGUGCCACAGAAAGCAAACCGCCCCGCGCGCCGCUCGGCUCAUGCCGGCGGAGCAUCAGCGGGGCAAGGGUGAAAGGGUGGGGUAAGAGCCCACCGCGCGACCGGCAACGGAAGCGGCACGGUAAACCCCACCGGGAGCAAGACCGAAUAGGGACGGCGUGAAGGGCAACCUUCGGGCAGUUUCCUGCCCAGCCGUCCGGGUAGGUUGCACGAGGCGGAUGGCAACAUCCGUCCCAGAGGAAUGGCCGCCACGUCAGGGCGUCCCGCAAGGGGUACCCGGGCCAUACAGAACCCGGCUUAUAGGCCGGCUGGUAAU